UACGUAUGGUGCAAGCGUUAUCCGGAUUUACUGGGCGUAAAGGGAGCGCAGGCGGCGCGCCAAGUCUGAUGUGAAACCCCGGGGCUCAACCCCGGGCAUGCAUUGGAAACUGGCGGGCUGGAGUGCCGGAGAGGUAAGCGGAGUUCCUAGUGUAGCGGUGAAAUGCGUAGAUAUUAGGAGGAACACCAGUGGCGAAGGCGGCUUACUGGACGGCAACUGACGCUGAGGCUCGAAAGCGUGGGGAGCAAACAGG
rnacentral:rRNA from 1 species